UACGUAGGUGGCGAGCGUUGUCCGGAUUUACUGGGUGUAAAGGGCGUGUAGGCGGGGAUGUAAGUCAGAUGUGAAAUUCCACGGCUCAACCGUGGGGCUGCAUCUGAAACUAUAUUUCUUGAGUGCUGGAGAGGAAAGCGGAAUUCCUAGUGUAGCGGUGAAAUGCGUAGAUAUUAGGAGGAACACCAGUGGCGAAGGCGGCUUUCUGGACAGUAACUGACGCUGAGGCGCGAAAGCGUGGGGAGCAAACAGG
rnacentral:rRNA from 2 species